rfam:Schistosoma mattheei strain Denwood, Zambia genome assembly, scaffold: SMTD_scaffold0016395
AGCCUUCAUUAUUUGUGCAGAGAUUUCGUCACACACCAGACCACGAAGGUUGAUGAAACUCCCAGGAUAAAUGAAGCG